UACGGAGGUGCAAGCGUUGUCCGGAUUCAUUGGGUUUAAAGGGUGCGCAGGCGGGCGAUUAAGUCAGGGGUGAAAGACGGUUGCUCAACAAUCGCAGUGCCUUUGAUACUGGUCGUCUUGGGUAACCUUGAGGUAGGCGGAAUGGGUGGUGUAGCGGUGAAAUGCGCAGAUAUCAGGAGGAACACCGGUGGCGAAGGCGGAUCUCUGGGCCUUACCUGACGCUGAGGCGCGAAAGCUAGGGGAGCGAACAGG
rnacentral:rRNA from 1 species